rnacentral:rRNA from 1 species
UACGUAGGGGGCAAGCGUUAUCCGGAUUUACUGGGUGUAAAGGGAGCGUAGACGGCUUUGCAAGCCAGAUGUGAAAGCCCGGGGCUCAACCCCGGGACUGCAUUUGGAACUGUGUGGCUAGAGUGUCGGAGAGGCAGGCGGAAUUCCUAGUGUAGCGGUGAAAUGCGUAGAUAUUAGGAGGAACACCAGUGGCGAAGGCGGCCUGCUGGACCGAAACUGACGUUGAGGCUCGAAAGCGUGGGGAGCAAACAGG